UGGCUCAGGACGAACGCUUGCGGCGUGCCUAAGAAAUGCAAGUCGAGCGAGGUCAUUCCUAGCAAUAGGGAGAAGCCUAGCGGCGAACGGUCGCGUAACACGUAAGCAACCUGCCCCAAAGACCGGGAUAGCCCGCCGAAAGGAUUUAAUACCGGAUGUGGUUCCGUCAGGGCAUCCUGGUGGAAUUAAAUCCCGCAAGGGCUUUGGGAUGGGCUUGCGGCCUAUCAGCUUGUUGGUGGGGUAACGGCCUACCAAGGCGACGACGGGUAGCUGGUCUGAGAGGAUGGUCAGCCGGACUGGGACUGAGACACGGCCCAGACUCCUACGGGGGGCAGCAAUUAGGAAUCUUGCGCAAUGGGCGAAAGCUGACGCAGCGGACGCCGCGUGACUGAUGAAGUCUUUCGGGAUGUAAAAGUCUUUUCUGGGGGAAGAACACAAUGACGGUCCCCAGGGAUAAGCCCCGGCU
rnacentral:rRNA from 1 species